UGUGAACUCGAAGAGUAGGGCGGGACACGUGGUAUCCUGUCUGAAUAUGGGGGGACCAUCCUCCAAGGCUAAAUACUCCUGACUGACCGAUAGUGAACCAGUACCGUGAGGGAAAGGCGAAAAGAACCCCGGCGAGGGGAGUGAAAAAGAACCUGAAACCGUGUACGUACAAGCAGUGGGAGCACCUUCGGGUGUGACUGCGUACCUUUUGUAUAAUGGGUCAGCGACUUAUAUUCUGUAGCAAGGUUAACCGUAUAGGGGAGCCGCAGGGAAACCGAGUCUUAACUGGGCGUUAAGUUGCAGGGUAUAGACCCGAAACCCGGUGAUCUAGCCAUGGGCAGGUUGAAGGUUGGGUAACACUAACUGGAGGACCGAACCGACUAAUGUUGAAAAAUUAGCGGAUGACUUGUGGCUGGGGGUGAAAGGCCAAUCAAACCGGGAGAUAGCUGGUUCUCCCCGAAAGCUAUUUAGGUAGCGCCUCGUGAACUCAUCUUCGGGGGUAGAGCACUGUUUCGGCUAGGGGGUCAUCCCGACUUACCAACCCGAUGCAAACUACGAAUACCGAAGAAUGUUAUCACGGGAGACACACGGCGGGUGCUAACGUCCGUCGUGAAGAGGGAAACAACCCAGACCGCCAGCUAAGGUCCCAAAGUCAUGGUUAAGUGGGAAACGAUGUGGGAAGGCACAGACAGCCAGGAUGUUGGCUUAGAAGCAGCCAUCAUUUAAAGAAAGCGUAAUAGCUCACUGGUCGAGUCGGCCUGCGCGGAAGAUGUAACGGGGCUAAACCAUGCACCGAAGCUGCGGCAGCGACACGAUGUGUUGUUGGGUAGGGGA
rnacentral:rRNA from 1 species